rnacentral:rRNA from 1 species
UACGUAGGGGGCAAGCGUUGUCCGGAUUUAUUGGGCGUAAAGAGCGUGUAGGCGGUUUGGUAGGUCCGUUGUGAAAACUCGAGGCUCAACCUCGAGACGCCGAUGGAAACCAUCAGACUAGAGUCCGGAAGAGGAGAGUGGAAUUCCUGGUGUAGCGGUGAAAUGCGCAGAUAUCAGGAGGAACACCGAUGGCGAAGGCAGGUCUCUGGGCCGAUACUGACGCUGAGGAGCGAAAGCGUGGGGAGCGAACAGG